UACGUAGGGCGCAAGCGUUAUCCGGAAUUAUUGGGCGUAAAGAGCUCGUAGGCGGUUUGUCGCGUCUGCCGUGAAGGUCCGGGGCUCAGCUCCGGAUCUGCGGUGGGUACGGGCAGACUAGAGUGAUGUAGGGGAGACUGGAAUUCCUGGUGUAGCGGUGAAAUGCGCAGAUAUCAGGAGGAACACCGAUGGCGAAGGCAGGUCUCUGGGCAUUAACUGACGCUGAGGAGCGAAAGCAUGGGGAGCGAACAGG
rnacentral:rRNA from 1 species